GUGGUAGAGCGGCUGACUGCAGAUCAGCAGGUCCUCGGUUUAAAUCCGGGCGUGCCCU
rnacentral:tRNA from 1 species